AUUGAACGCUGGCGGCAGGCCUAACACAUGCAAGUUCGAGCGGUAACAGGGGAAGCUUGCUUCCCGCUGACGAGCGGCGGACGGGUGAGUAAUGUAUGGGGAUCUGCCCGAUAGAGGGGGAUAACCACUGGAAACGGUGGCUAAUACCGCAUAAUCUCUUGGAGCAAAGCAGGGGAACUUCGGUCCUUGCGCUAUCGGAUGAACCCAUAUGGGAUUAGCUAGUAGGUGGGGUAAUGGCUCACCUA
rnacentral:rRNA from 1 species